AACGAACGCUGGCGGCGUGCUUAAUACAUGCAAGUCGAACGUGAAAGAAGGGGCAACUCUUCUGGAAAGUGGCGAACGGGUGAGUAAUACGUAAGUAAUCUACCUCUAAGUUUGGGAUAACCUUGCCAACGCGGGGCUAAUACCGGAUGUGGUCACAGAAACGCAUGUUUUUGUGAUUAAAGAUGAGAGUCGCUUGGAGAUGAGCUUGCGUCCCAUUAUGCUUGUUGGCGGGUAACGGCCCACCAAGGCUGCGAUGGGUAGCCGGCCUGAGAGGGUGGACGGCCACAUUGGGACUGAGAUACGGCCCAGACUCCUACGGGUGGCAG
rnacentral:rRNA from 1 species